CGAAGCCGUGCAGACGGGGCGCACGCGUGCCGGGGGCUGGAGUCAGCAUUCUGCCUGCUGAGACCCGCUGUCUCCUCUCGCCACAGCUGCUCACCGGGGCCCAGAGUGUGGCCGGCCGGGGAGUCCAGCGCACCUUGCCGCCCUGCCCUUCCAGUAAUUGCAAGGUGAAAACAAAAGUGAGGCGCCAGCAGCCUACACGGCCAGGGAGCCCCAGAAGGAGGAAGCACCGUCAUCACGGGGUGUUCCAGUUUCCACAAGUGCGUACAGGCGUCCAACAUGCCAGGGCCGUGAGUGGUAACCUCUCCCUGGCAGAGGCUCGUCAGGCCGCGGGAGCGCCUGGGUCUCAAUGAGCAAGUUCUCAAGGAAGACAAGGGCCCUGGAGAUGCCCGUAAUGCCAAACCCGCUGUCUCCUGCGCCCCAAAGGUUUCUUUAACCUUUCACAGGGCACAGCUGUGAGGACCUCAGAGAGGCCUGGGAGACAAGGUCCCUGAGCCGAAGGACUCAGGUCUGGUCAUCUUCUGUGGGCGUACGGUCCCUUGAGACUGGGCGAGGGAGCGCGGUGCAGCUCCGUGGGGCUUUGUGGUGGUGAGCCGUGGAUAAUGCUCACUCCUUCCGGACUUCUGAGAAGCCGAUUGGAGAUGAAUGGGCCUGGAGAGCCAGCAGUGCCCGCCCCCAGCUCAGGAUGAAUGAAUGAGGUCAUGUUUGUAGAGCGCUGUGAGCCAUGAGGAUGAAAGCAGCUCCUCAAGAGCAAGGAUCCCAGAGUCACGGAGGGACUUUCAACUGACCAGGACCCAGAAGAACGGAGGGAAACAGUGAAGUGGGCAUUUCUCUUGCCGCUUGAAGGUUUCAGAAGGUCCAGGAAGCCAGCGAACGCCGAGAAGAUGAAUGGGCAAAGGAAAAGAAGUUCUGGAGCCUUGCGUGCCUUUUGCCCUGGGGGGCUGGUGACGUCCCGUGUGCCCGCAGUGCAAGAGUUACACAGAAAUCAUCCGGCAGCGGGCUUCGGAGGGAGAAGAGCCAGCGAAGGGCCAGAGGUGACUUCACGGAAAAGUAGAUAAAGAAGCUACAAAGGCAGCUGAAGUCGCAGCCUUUUGAACAGCUCUCUUUGUUCAGGCCGCAGCUGAGGAGGAAAUCCACAAUAAGGAAUUCACAUUUGGCAAGAAGCAAAAUGACAGCCUGAUGGCUGAUUUCCUAAUGGACAAGGUUAUUUUCUUCAUCAGAGAAACUGCCGCGCGGCCAGAGGAACUGUUCCCAGGGCCCCAGGACUUGUGGACGCCGACCCCUUGGUGGACGUCAGCCUGGGCCACGGGCCUGGGCAGGACGUGCCGUUCGCUGCCAGUGGAUUCAGCCUUAAUCCACUGACAUCACGGGCUGAGGACCAAGAGGCCCACCAGGGACCUGGUGUCUUCUGGAGAGACCCACGCGCUUACUCAGCACAGCCAGGCCGCAGUCUUCCCAGACGGGGGCAGAAUUGGCCCCGGAAGGGUUAAGAAGGGGCCUGACUUAGCUCCUCCAGGCCCCCAGCCUCCCUGGCUUGGACUCAUGCUACAUCCAGGGCAGGUCUGUCAGCUCCUCACCUGCAGGCGUGCCCCGCUUCCCGUUAGCGGCGUCUGCACCGCGGCUAAAAUGAGCGCAGGUGUGACCGAGGUGGGACAUGCCCAUGUGAGCUGAAACCAGGGCAGCCGAAAUGAGCAGGAGGAAAAGUGCCGAGGGACUAGCUGACCCAGAAAUCAUUCCUCCUGGUGCUUUCUCCCCAGAUCCGAGGUUGGGGAGAAGGACCCUGACCUGAUGGAGCAGGUGGCUCCCACCUCCCCGCCUCCCGAGGAUGCCCGAGCAAGGCUUGCACCCUGCAAUGCCAACUUCCGCAGGAUGCUGCGCAGCUGUUUACACAGGCCUGCUGGUGCUUACACCGUCCACCCCGCCCCAGGCCAUUUUUUUUUUCCCAAGUUAAAAGCAUUUUUAUGGCCCUCUAGAUGGCAGUUACUUCUGGAUACUUCCUUUUGUCUCUGCCUUCUUCUCCCUCAGGCCUUCCCUGGCCCAGAUCUCUGUCCAGGGCGCCAAGUGGCGUCAAGGAGAGGGAGAGGAAUGCGGGCUGGCCCCUCCAGAGGGACUGCUGAAAGGUGUGGCCGCUUAUCUCCCCUUGCCCUGGGCUGUGGCUGCGUCCUCUGGUCUCUACCUGUGAGCGGGUGGCCUGACCCUGUUGUCCGAGGGACUCUAACUUGAUUCAUUGGGGAAAGCCUCUGACCUAGAAUUUUCUCUGAACCACCCCUUCCCUUUCUCUUCUGCCUCCUGACACUUGGUGGCUGGUUAUUGCUUCGUUUUUUUUUUCUUUUAAGGUUUAUUUAUUUAUACAUACAAGAACUGGGGUACAGGCACCCCAGAGUUUUGUCACCGCCAGAGUUUUGGGGGAUGAGAGGAUUCCUCAGAGACAGAAUGGGGAACAGAACAGGCAGAUCAACUGAAAUACAGUGUGAGGGGAGCAGCGGGGAGUCAGGAGAGGUCUGCUGCGCCGUGUGGGUAGCUCCCUGGCCGGGGAUCAAACUUGCACUGCAGUGGCUGCAGGUAGGUUCGUAGGUUGCGUCUUAAUAACCCCUUGCGCCACCAGGGAGGUCCCUAUUGCUCCUUUUUGAAGCCGAGCCUUGACUCAGCCUGAGCAUAGAAAGCAUCCGAGCAGCGCUCACGUUCCGCGCCUUGUUUAUCUUCCAGGCACUGGCCUGGUGACUCAUAUGUGGGAGGAGGAACCACGUUAUAGGCUUGGGGAAUGUUAUCCAAGACCGGGACCAACCCGCUUCCCAGGCUCAGCACAGGCCGAGGAGGGGCUCUCAGAAUAGAUCCCUAUGGGCAACAGGCGGCAGCCGGAGCUGCCGGACGGAGCCACAUCCUUGCCCGGCCCGGCCCGACUGGGAAGAAGAAACCCCCGACACCAAUAGGUGCGGAAAGGGGAUGAUCGCCCCUGGACAAAAUGCUGAGAGCAAGGCCGGUACAAGCCUGUGGACAGAGGUGGGGAUUCAAAGGCAACACAACUUUUUACGCUAUUUCGGGAGGAUUCUAGAACCUUCAUGACUUGUCUUUUACCUUUACCCAAUAAUUACAGGAUGGGACAAGGUGUGAGGCCACAGGGGUGUGAAGAGGGAGAGCAGUUCCCACCCAGAGGUGCCCUGAAAGCCUUCCAGGCCUUAGGGGUGGGGGCCGGAGGGGGCCCAUCAGCUGGUCACCGCCAUAGACUUGCCGCUCGGGCCAUCCUGUCAAUGUAAGUGACAGCCGUGGGGUCCUGGCCCCUGGGCCCUUGGAGGAAGCCGAGGCUCGCCAGCCUUCAGCACCGGGUCUGGGGACGCCUGCCGGAGAAGGGAGGCCGGGAGAAGCCCAGAAGUCGGAAGAGUCACGUCGGGUGCAUUGGUUCCCCACCCGCCGCGGCGCAGCCCUCUCUGACCCUGGCUGGAGAGAGGUUCGAGUCCGGCGUGGCCUCGGGAGCUUCUGCUGCUCCGUCCACCCUCGCAGAAAAACAAAAGCGAACAAAACCAGACCCACAAAUAAAACAAAAGGCUGA